rnacentral:rRNA from 1 species
GACGAACGCUGGCGGCGUGCUUAACACAUGCAAGUCGAGCGGUAAGGCCCUUUCGGGGGUACGACGAGCGGCGAACGGGUAGGAGUAACAACGUGGGUGGACCUCGCCCUCCAGCUCUGGGAGUAAAGCCUCGGGAAACCGGGGUACGUAAUAACCGGAGUAUGGCUCCAUGACGCAUGUUGUGGGGUGGAAAGACCUUGUGCGGCUGAGGAUGGGCCCGCGGCCUAUCAGCUUGUUGGUGGGGUGAUGGCCUACCAAGGCGACGACGGGUAGCCGGCCUGAGAGGGCGACCGGCCACACUGGGACUGAGACACGGCCCAGACUCCUACGGGAGGCAGCA